CAGUGACAGAUCUCGUGGUGCUCCCCCUUGGAUGUUUCUGGCGGGAGUCUGUAAAGUAUCGGAGCAGGGCCGUAGGAUGAUUUGAGAAGUGGCCGUUGCCCUGGCGUGUCUUGCGUCGUCUCUCCUGUGUAUUACCCGAAAGGCACACAUCCAAGCCUUAGCUUUCCACUCAACUCACAGAUCCUGCACCAGAGCCAAGCGCAGUAGGCUAGUCAAGACUAAGUUGCUAGACUGACCCCCAAAGUCAGGCCGUCCAAAAAAAAAAGGUGCUGGGAUUCAUUGUUUCGAGAAGGAAUACGGCGUCCUGUUCACUAACACUGGAGGAACAAAAGGCAUGUUUUGAAUCUGUGAGGGAGAUGGCGGAAAGAGCAAAAACAGAGCAUGCAGAAUCUCACCUAUUUUGUGAUAUACCCAAGAGAGACAAAAAAAAA